UUUGGUGACCAAGAAUGAAAUUUGGAAUCAGACCUUUUUUUGGCAUUACAACAUGACACGGAAGCACGCCUUUUCAUCCUCCACCAGUCGCCUACAGUAUUUUAUUUGUCAUCAACCAUUUCUAUGUUUAAUUCUCAUUUAUUGAAAAAUGAUUUAUUUGAGCACUUUAGCGAGCUACUCUUUGUUUUUGCAUUCAGUGACAAUGGGUAGGUGCAACCUUCGGAGAAAAGUGUGUCAAGGCAGCAAUUAUAGUUGGUAACAUGAGCUGCCCCAGUCGCAUGGCAGUGUUCUGGCCAAGAUGGUCCCUCACGGAGACACUGGAGGAGAUGGUGUGCUCAACCUGAGUUCGCCUUCAGCAUCCUCCUACAGUUUGACAAGUCCAUGAGUGCCACGCCUACAGCCCCAGGUCAAGAGCAAUGCCUUCUUCAAGGUGCCAACCAAAAUGACACCUCUCCACACAUUUAUCACUAUAUUGUACAGAGAACCAAGUGCCCUGACCUAUGCUAUAAAGAGAUCAUGUGAAAACAAAGCUGAAGUUGUUGCUCAGGAUGAGAAGGAAAGUGAUCUUCGAGCAACACUAGACCUGGACCUAGAACCACUGGUUCACUUAGAACGAGUUAGUCGAUUGUUGUGAUAAGAGUAAGGGUUGAGAGUGAGCGGGGAGAAGGUUAGAGUUUGUCUCUUCAGUUACAGUUCUGAGAAGAAUAAUUUUUCUAUUUUAGAAAAUGUGGCAAAUUGCAUUUCAUCAGAGAUGGCUUUGCUGUAAAUUGCAUGAUCGAGAGGUUUUUAUAUAUUUUUCAUCAAGUCGUACAA